rnacentral:tRNA from 1 species
GGUGGCAGAGUGGCUAAGUGCUUGGCUGUUAACCAAAAGGUUGGUGGUUCAAACCCACUAGCCA